ensembl:lncRNA
AUUAGCUCGCAAACCCGCAAUAACAAAGAAGAACACAAGCGAGUGAUUCCUUCGAUACUAAUUAAGGAGCAGUGGCGCGCUGAGUUAGGCAGUCUAUUACUCAAACGAGAAAACUGCACAGCGUCCGGAAUAGAAGACGAUGGUAAGUUUCCCUGUUGCUUUUCCAAAUGUCUUUUAGCGCGUUACCCAUUAAAAUGGGACUGUCAGUGUAACUUUCAGCCUUUUGCAGACGAGUACGCGCUGCCGGGGCCGCUCUCUCGUGUGCGUAAACUCGGAUUUGGUGUGUCGGUCGGACUGUCUGGAGAUGUGGAGACCUCUCCUCCUCCUCCUCGCGGCUUUGUUUACUCCGCUUUCUCCAAUCCGGGGCGCAAGCGGUCGUCUGACAUCAUCUUUCCCAGAUCCAAUCAGGCGAAGAGACCGGGAAACAUCGCCUCAAACCCUCCAGUUCCAUCGCUCCAAAAUCUCAGCUGUUUAAUCCCUUUAAUGAUGGACUUUAAAAGCGAAAGGAGAACAAGGAAAUCAAGCGAGGUGAUGCAACUGCAUGUGAGAGCAGACUCCCCGAGCGCACGGAGCGCAAAGGCAGCGCGCAAGGUCUUUGGAUUUGGACAUUCACUGGAUUAUUGGAGGAAACUGGUUCUGUCAACAGCGAGUGUUGACAUUUCGGCUUAGGAGAUAAACCUCACAAGGGAUCAAACAAAAACUGGACUUUUUGAGUGAAGAAAGGAGGGUGCGUUUGAGUGUGUUCAUGCAUGUUUGUGUAAAGAGGUAUCAGUGUUGCAAGUCUGCUGCUGACAACCUAAAGUGGAAGGACGCUGAUAUUGUCUGAGGGGUUUGGUUAUCUCCAUGUCAAAAGGCUGAGAAAACAUAAAAGUGAGGUGUGCUGAACACAUGUGCACACAUAUUUUAAUGAUUUAUAGGCCUACAGAAGUAAAAAUAGGAAUAUAAAUAUAAAAAUGCUAAACAUGUAUGUAGAAUGUUUUUAGGCUUGACUGACAUCUGUGUACUCAAAUAUAAAGUCCCACAGUAACAGCUGCUGGAUCAAAACAGAUAGAAAGAAUUUUUAGGACAAAAACAGCACAAUCAGACAACAUUUAAAAUACCGACAAGUGUAUGCUUUUAGUUUGUGAGGAACGAUAAGCACAUCAGCUCUAUAACAGUUGAAAGAAAUUAAAAUAUCGCUGAGACGAUUAGCCUUUACUGACUACAGACUCUUUUAGUUCCUAAUUGGGCAAAGGCUUGCUUGAUUUCUGAACACAAAACUGAGAAAAGGUGCUAAAUUUUUCCUCAAAAAUAAGACAAAGAGGUGUUUAUGUCUUUGGGUAACAUAUUAAACUUCUUCAGAAAAGCCAAAGAGACAAUAAACAUCUCAAGAGAAACAUUAAGGGAUGAGAAAGUAGCAAGAUAAUUAAUAGCUUGGUCUUUGCUAUAGUUAGGGGCAAUGCGAUUAAAAAGCUUAAUACUACCUGUUGACAGGCUACCAAUUAUAUCUCAUAGUCUCAUUUAGCUAUGACACUCACACAAAGGCAACAUUAUAAAUUUGUCAGUGAUGUAUUAUUGUUUAAAACAUGCUACAUGCUACUUUGGUAAUAGUGUCGAAGUGGUGCAGGCAGGAGAUAAGGUUUAUAAGGUUAAUAAAAAUACAUGGGCUACUCUGACACAGAGCAGGUCAAGGCUUGGCGCUUCCAAGUGUCUGAUGGAAUGUCAAUCAAAUUGGUGUGAGGGAUGUAAAAAGGGCUGGUAAAGAAAGAGUGGAAGGAAAAAUAACAGCAUCAGAGAGAGGGAGGGACCUGAGCACUGAGCAGGCAGCUGCCCUGUUAAUGUUUCUGACAGAAGUAGGGGUGAGGAGAAGAGGAU